rnacentral:rRNA from 1 species
UACGGGGGGGGCAAGCGUUGUUCGGAAUUACUGGGCGUAAAGGGCUCGUAGGUGGCCAACUAAGUCGGACGUGAAAUCCCUCAGCUUAACUGGGGAACUGCGUCCGAUACUGGAUGGCUUGAGUUUGGGAGAGGGAUGCGGAAUUCCAGGUGUAGCGGUGAAAUGCGUAGAUAUCAGGAGGAACACCUGUGGUGUAGACAGCUUACUGGACCAUAACUGACGCUGAGGCACGAAAGCGUGGGUAGCAAACAGG